GCGCUCGUAGCUCAGUUGGAUCAGAGCGCCUGAUUACGAAUCAGGAGGUCGCACGUUCAAGUCGUGCCGAGUGCGCCA
rnacentral:tRNA from 1 species